GCCGGUGUAGCUCAGUUGGUAGAGCACGUCAUUCGUAAUGAUGGGGUCGGGAGUUCGAAUCUCUCCACCGGCACCA
rnacentral:tRNA from 1 species